GUCCCAGCUUCUUGUCUGUGGUUAGUUAGUGGAGCAGGUGUGUAGUUUGGAACUGUUGUGUUUACACACUCAGAGACCAACAGCAGUUUCUUAGUUGCUCUCAAUGCUGCUGUUGCCCUUUGUUGCCUCGUUGCUCCACUUCACCUGCUGCGUUAGAGCUCACCUGUCCAUUCAGUGACACCACCUGACAGGUAGCGCUGUCUGUCUCACACUCAUAUCUUCAGCUCAUCAUCUCAUGACGUAGAGAUGGAUCAGGACACGGUGAAGGAACAACAUGAGAUCCAGACUGAAGAUCAGAGGACCAGGAAGAAGCUCACAUCUGGACCUGGACCCAGCUGUGUGUCCUUUAGAAGUGACCGGUCCAUUGACAAACUCAUUAACUUCAAAGGAGGUCCAUCUACUGACCCACACAGCUUGGAGGGUGUGGAUGGUUCCUCUGGAGCUGAGCCUGACUCCAUUUUUACGGUGUGUAUGUCUACAAAGACACUAAACCUGUGUCAGCCUGUGAUCAAACCACUGUACACACACACACGCACACGCACACAUAGGGGGUGUAUGGGGGGUGGAUUGCUUCUAAAUUCAUGCACACCAAUCUAA
rnacentral:lncRNA from 1 species